AGAGCUGCUUUCCAAUGUCCUCUUCAGCUUGGGGGUCCUUAGACUUAAGGCCAACGGGCUUUAGACCCGACUGUAUUAUGAUUGUUAUUCCUCCAACAAGGUCAGUCCCGUAGAGACUUCUCGAUCUUCUCCUCUGGGCUAAGCCUGUGUGAGGGGCCAGGACACACAGGCAAGAGUCAAGCUUGCCUUCCUCAAACAGAUAGAGCAAAGUCCAUCUGACUGAAGGACUGCAACAGCAUUUCUGAAGCCAUCAGUGCGUGCCAAGCACUGGGCAAGCAAGUAGGAAACCAAGACAGUUCCUGUUCUGGGAGCUCACGUUCUGAUGGGCCAGCUGAGAAAACUGACUACUGAAAGGAAAAGACUGAUAAUGGAUCCUUGAGUCUGCCACUCUGACCUCUCCAACAUGCCAGGGAAUAAUAAAGUGGAGGAAUUCCAUGGAGACUGGAACAGCCUCCAAGAAGUGAUGCAGAGCGAGAGGAGCAGAACCAGGAGAACAUUGUACACAGAGACUGACACAUUGUGGUACAAGAGAACAUAAUGGACUUCUCGAGUAAUGGCUUUACAAUGUCCCUGAACAACCUGCAGCGAUCUACAAGAAAAAAAACCAAAACACUAUCCUCAAGCAGAGGACAAACUGAGGGAGUAAAAACACUGGGGAAAAGCAACUGCUUGACUACAGAGGUGGAGGGGAUAUGACUGAGGAGAGAGGCUAAAUGAGCGCCCUAAUGCAAAUACCAACAACAAGGAAAUAGUUUCAGAGCAAGGACACAUGUGAUACCCAGACGAAUCGCCCAUCAGCUAGGGAAGGGGUGGCGGGGGGAGAAAAUGAUCUGUUUCCAAUGAACAAUGUAUGAAAAUGACCA